UGUUCGAGCGUCAGUACAACACUCAAGCCCAGCUUGGUAUUGAGCCCCGCGGGAGACCGCCGGCUUUAAAAUCAGUGGCGGCGCCAUCUGGCUCUAAGCGUAGUAAUACUCCUCGCUUCUGGGCCGUGUGGCGGCUGGCCAGCAACCCCCAACUUUCUUAGUUUGACCUCGGAUCAGGUAGGGAUACCCGCUGAACUUAA
rnacentral:misc_RNA from 1 species